rnacentral:rRNA from 1 species
GCAAGUCGACGGUAACAGGAAGCAGCUUGCUGCUUCGCUGACGAGUGGCGGACGGGUGAGUAAUGUCUGGGAAACUGCCUGAUGGAGGGGGAUAACUACUGGAAACGGUAGCUAAUACCGCAUAACGUCUUCGGACCAAAGAGGGGGACCUUCGGGCCUCUUGCCAUCGGAUGUGCCCAGAUGGGAUUAGCUUGUUGGUGGGGUAACGGCUCACCAAGGCGACGAUCCCUAGCUGGUCUGAGAGGAUGACCAGCCACACUGGAACUGAGACACGGUCCAGACUCCUACGGGAGGCAGCAGUGGGGAAUAUUGCACAAUGGGCGCAAGCCUGAUGCAGCCAUGCCGCGUGUAUGAAGAAGGCCUUCGGGUUGUAAAGUACUUUCAGCGGGGAGGAAGGGGUUGUGGUUAAUAACCGCAGCCAUUGACGUUACCCGCAGAAGAAGCACCGGCUAACUCCGUGCCAGCAGCCGCGGUAAUACGGAGGGUGCAAGCGUUAAUCGGAAUUACUGGGCGUAAAGCGCACGCAGGCGGCGUGUCAAGUCGGAUGUGAAAUCCCCGGGCUCAACCCGGGAACUGCAUUCGAAACUGGCAUGCUAGAGUCUUGUAGAGGGGGGUAGAAUUCCRGGUGUAGCGGUGAAAUGCCUASAGAUCUGGAGGAAUACCGGUGGCGAAAGCGGCC